rnacentral:misc_RNA from 1 species
GAACGCACCUUGCGCUCUCUGGUAUUCCGGAGAGCAUGUCUGUUUGAGUGUCAUGAACUCUUCAACCCACCGGUUCCUUGUUGGACCGGAUUGGUGUUUGGAUUUUGAGUGUUGCUAUUUAGUUAGCUCAUUCGUAAUACAUUAGCAUCUCAAUUUCGUAAUCGGAUUGACUCAGCGUAAUAGACUAUUCGCUGAGGACACCAUUUUGGUGGCCGAGACAUGAAAGAGUGGAAGCUUCAAACCCCGCCUAGUCAUUUUUAGAUUAGACCUCAGAUCAGGCAGGAUUACCCGCUGAACUUAAG